GCUUCAUUCGCACCGUGCGAACCGCAGACGAGGGUGGGGGACCCACUCGUGGCACUUGUUGAGUGCCUUGGGGUGAAGCCGGUCCCGAACCGGCCGAGCACCUGACCGCUCGAACCCGACAGCUCACCUCACCGGCGUCGUCAGGAAAGGAAAC
rnacentral:sRNA from 1 species